AUGGACUGCAGCUGGAGAACCCUCCUCCUGGUGGCCAUGGCAACAGGUGUCCACUCCCAGGUGCAGCUGGUGCAGUCUGGGGCUGAGGUGAGGCAGCCUGGGGCCUCCGUGAAGGUCUCCUGCAAGGCUUCUGGAUACACCUUCACCAGCUACUACAUGCACUGGGUGCGACAGGCCCCAGGACAGGGGCUUGAGUGGAUGGGGUGGGUUUACCCUGGAAAUGGAAACACAAAAUACGCACAGAAAUUCCAAGGCAGAGUCUCCAUGACCGCAGACAAGUCCACGAGCACAGCCUACAUGGAGCUCAGCAGCCUGAGAGCCGAGGACACAGCUGUGUAUUACUGUGCAAGAGACACAGUGAGGGGAAGUCCCUGA